CAGUUAAAUACACCAGCCACUGCAAAGAUCAGCCGCUGGUCCCAGACCACACAUGAGGUUGCGGUAGCGCAUGGAUAAAGGCAUUAGAUUCGCUGGAGACUCGCUGGUCACUAGAGAGCUGGAAGGCUUUUACUGGUUCAAUUCUGCUGUAGCUGCCACUGACUGCUCAUCAAUGUGAGAAGCUUUCCAGAUCAGUUAAAAUCAGCAGAUACUACUGUGAAGCUUCACACUCGCCUUGUGUCCUUGGCCCCUGUUAAUUCUGCGCACUGGCCCACACCUGUGAAGAUGAUGCGAGCCAAGGCCCUGUAAGUCCUCCGAGUACGGAUGAAUCCUCCAUUCAUUCUGCUUUCCACUCGGAGAAUGACGGACAGAGAGAGCUCCCAGCCAGCCCUCCAUGAGCAGGGAGAACAGCGGGUUCUCUGUGCCCUACAGUGGCCAUGUUUGCCUGGAGGAGCCAGGGAACAUCUGGUGAGAUUCUGCACCAUAGGGUGGCUGCAAAACAUUGGAUGUUUGAAUAAACGAACCCCGCAACCGCACCACAGAACACUGGAAGAGAGGGGACUCCUCACUCAAAGCUGCUUUCUCCCUCCCUGCUACAGUCUGAGCAGCAGUUAAACUUCAAAUAACCUCUGUGGUUCCUUCCCUCCUAGGGCAUGAACACAAUCAGAGGACAAGUAGACGGGUGUUUCCAGGAGCCAAUGAAAUAUUUUAUUUAUUUCAAUGGGAAAUCAAGCCAGCUGGCUCUUACAUGAAGCUAUCCCCUGGAAUUCACAAAUGCCACUUUCUUCUCCAUCGUGGAAGAAAAGAUACGUUGUAGUUUGGAACAAAGGUGAAACAAAAAAAUCCAAAAUUCCUGAAAAACGGGAUCGACAAAUUUUAGCGGCUGCCCUAACUCCAUGCUAAAGACAUGGAGUGUCCUAUGUCCUUAACAUAGGAGUGCUAGUGCCUGACCAGCUGCUAGAGGGGGGACAUUCAGUAUGCAUUCCACCAAAAUGUUCACACACACACACACACACACACACACACACACACACUAUUCCUGCAGAGGCCUACCCACAAGGUUGCUUUCGGGAAUGCCAUGCUAAAUGAGGACCAUAAAACUUACUUACGAGUUUGAGCAUGGACCUUUCCCAGGUCUCUGAGCUCAUCCCUCUAAAGCUGAAGGUGCCUGUUUCUCUCACAGUAAUGCCAUUCAAGACUCUAAAGCACAGACAUGGUCAGUGGCUUCAAAGAGUUGCUCUCAAUAGGACUAGAGGUAUCCCGACAACUUCUUCUCUUACUUUGAUGCCUUUGCUGUAAGCAUUUGUGACAUAUUCUAGCUUCACUUCUGGACAAGCACGCUGUAGAUAAAGGACAUCUUUUAAAUAGGGAAUUUGAAGGGAAGGGAAUUAUUACUGCCAAUUAAGGUCUCUCUGCUCGUAAACACGAUGUGUGUUUCUGGGGAGACGUCUCAGUUGUUGGAGUGUUUGUCAUGCAAGUACAAAGACCUGAGUUCAUUUCCUCAGGGCCGAGUAAAAAAGCUGGGUACUCUCAUCUGUCAUCCCAGAACUGAAGAGACAACAAAAAGAGCAUCCCUGGGGCUCACUGGUCGGCUAAUGUAGCUGGAUCAGCAAGCACUGGGUUCAGUGAGCUAAAACUAAAAUGGAGAGUGAUAGAGUGUGACAUCCAACAUAAACCUCUGCUCACACACAUAUACACACAUGCAUCCACAUGUAUCACACAUGUACGCAUAUAUACCACAAAGAAAGCCCAUGCACAUAUCACAUAUGCACACAUAUACACACAUACACACACAUAUACAUAUCACACACAGACACACACAUCCCCACAUCACCCAUGCAUAUAUACAUAUGACAUCACAUACACAGACACACAUGCCACAUAUGCACAUAUGUACACACAUGCACACACAUCACACACAGACACAUACAUCACCCAUGCAUACAUACAUAUCCCAUCAUACACACACAUCACAUAUGCUUGCAUGUGCAUGCAUGCCUACACACAUCAUCAUCAUCAUGACAUAACACACAGACACACAAAUCCCCUACACACACCACCCAAGCACACAUACAUAUCACAUCACACACAUACAUUUCACAUAUGCACACAUAUGCAUGCACACAUACACACACAUCAUCAUCACAUCGCACAUGCACACAUCCCCACAGUAAUAAUAACAGCACAUAUUAAGAGGUAUUUCAUCUGCUACAAACAAACCUAGGACAAUAAGUACCAGUGUUACAGUGACCAAAUGAGUGAAUGAGGAAAGGAAGAGAGUUUGGCUUCUUAGCUGCAGAGCGAUAUUAAACAACUUACUGAAUCCUCUUCCUCCUCACUUACACUCUGUGGAGAGCAGUAGUUUCUCCUUUGUAAUAUAAUUAGGAUUAAGCGUGAUAGCCAUAUAGUGAGCGCCAUGUUUAGCACAUUGUAAAAACCCAAGAAAUAAUCGUCACUGUGACUACUGCCAUAGCUCAGCUUUCUCUUCCCAUGAUAAUAAGGCUCUGCUUCUGGAAAGCAUAGGUUGUUCUCGAAUGCAAAAACAUGCCUUGAAGACAAAAGGAUGCUUGUAAUAAAAGUUGUUCUCUGUCAGGUGACCCAAUAUUAUCUGGAUCGUGACAAGCCAUGAGGAAAGGGUGGCCAAAAACAAGAGCCCACCAUCUUGGUUGAGAAGGUUGAUGCGAAGCCAAACCCACUGGCUAGAGGGCGGAGACACUCCAGAUGAAGUGAUACCAGCAAGUGAUAGGAGGCACACUGAAGGGGGAAAACCUCCCCCAAACAGGCAUGGCUCAAUGUCCAUGUGCCUGACCAUGGGAAGA
rnacentral:lncRNA from 1 species